UCAUACUCAAAUGAUUAUACUUGUUGACACUUUCUGAGUUUUAAUUCACAUUAUGGAUUACAAAUCUAUGCUUUUUCUACUCUGUCUCUCUGUGCAGGUAUUGCUGUCUCCUGAGUUCUUCAGUGUCCCAACUAAGACAUUCAAACCUCAUUGCAGAGCUUAUAUCUUUCCUCACCAUCAUGUGAGUGUGAGAUUGCUCUGGAUUCUGGUUAUGUGGCCUGCAGCACCUAUAAGAACAAGCUAGUACAGUGUGCCUGCAUUCCAGCUUCUUAGA